rnacentral:misc_RNA from 1 species
GAUGAAGAACGCAGCGAAAUGCGAUAAGUAGUGUGAAUUGCAGACUUUAGUGAAUCAUCGAAUCUUUGAACGCACAUUGCGCCCCUUGGUAUUCGAUUGGGCAUGCCUGUUCGAGCGUCAUUUACACCCUCAAGCUCACGCUUGGUGUUGGGCGUCUGUCCGCGCUUUCGAGCGUGGACUCGCCCCAAAUCCAUUGGCAGCGGCUUCGCCGGCUUCUCGCGCAGCACUUUGCGUUCAAGAAGGUCUGCGGCGGGCUCGCGUCCAUCAAGUCACCCCUCAUUUUGACCUCGAAUCAGGUAGGGAUACCCGCUGAACUUAAGCAUAUCAAUAAGCGGAGGA